AGGCUGUUAUGUAGCCAAGGAUGACUUGCCGGCCGAUGCCUCCUCGAUAUACAAUCGUCGCACAUCCCUGGGCGGCCGGGAACGUCGCAUGCAUGCAAACUGUUGGGGCAUCGGCCGGCAGGUUCUUCUCUUUGGCUACACGAUGGCCUCG
rnacentral:pre_miRNA from 1 species